UGUUGAGUUACCAUGACAAAGUCACUGUCACAGAGCCAGUGGGGAAAGCAGCCUCUAAACAUGCCACCCAGAGCCAAGAAGUCCAGUAUCUCACUCCACAUCUGCCUUCUCGUGGUCCAACACUCUGCCGACUCAGUUAAUCCAAAGAUCACUUCCAAACUUCAGGCUGAUGGAAACCUGAGGAGUCGGAUCCAUUCAUAGGCAGCCCCAUUUUCACCUUCCCUUGUCCCCGAGGCUGCCAUUAGGUUGAAAACCAGUCUGGUACUGUCAGCGUGUCUUUGUCUACAGCUAUGAAAAAGUCCACAUAGUCCAGUCUCUACAUAGGGCACAAUGAUUCUCCUCUACAUCUCAGCUACCAGUGGCAGCUUUUGCUGCACCCAGUUCUCACAACAACUUGCAAAGAGGAUCAACACACACGACUGAUCACGAGAUAAAGGAAGUCUGAAGCAGUCCCCACCAAACAUGCAAAUUCAAUGAAUGAAGAUCCAUUUCUUGCAGCUUUCUGCUUUGUAUAAUAACAUUUGGCUGUGAUGAUCUAUUAUGACACUAAUCCUUGCACAGCCCAGAGAAGAUGGGCAAUAGUUUUCUGGAUGUCAGUGGGACUCUGGCACAAGGGCCAGCCAAUUUUGGUGAGCGCAACAGGAAAUUCUUUGCAAUGUCCUUGUGAAUCUGAGGUUACAAAGACUGGCUCAAUCUGUCACAGGAAGCAUGCUGGAAUGCCUUUGUCCUUCUUUCUAGUUUUUCUUUCUUUCUUUCUAAUAAUUCUCAGUGUGGGAGAAUAUUAUUCUUUCUAAUAAUUCUCGGUGUGGGCUUACAUCCUUUGCUUUGGGAAAGGUUUCUAUCAUUAGACCUCUCUUUUCCCCCAACCAGCCAGCUGUGAAGCGGUUCACUGCGGACCCAACCUCUGGCAUGACUGUGGAUCAGCAGCACCAAUGCCAUGAAGACUGCAGACACACUGGAGAACCAAGGCUAAUUCCCUUAGCCAUUGAGCCUCCGCUUUCCAUCCAUGAAAUGACUCUCAAAAUGCCAGCUUGGGCUAUUGCUUGCUUCAGAGCACCUAAGAGCAUCUGAACAAAAGGAAUAUCUUUUUCACAGAUGUAAAUGAGGAAAGCGAGGAUUAUACAGUAGAAGAAGUGCUCUAUAAGGCUGCUGAA
rnacentral:lncRNA from 1 species